CUUUUGCAAGGCACUGUAUGUGUCAUCUAGAUUAAGGGGGAGAGACUCUAGUACAUAGUUUAAACUUUAAAACCAUGAAAUCCACUAAAGGGUAACUCCUAGCACCAUUGCCACUAAAUAGCCUUGAAGUGGUCAUGGUCAUGGUGAUGAUGGAGAUGUAUCUCCACCUCUUAAAUAGUCCAUAGGCAGCAUGGUACAUGUUGCCCUAUGAAUUCUGUGUAUAUUGAAUGUACGUCUGAAGUAAACACACACACCCUAGGCUGCUCUUGUACUCC